rnacentral:rRNA from 1 species
GGCAGCAGCAGGGAAUAUUGCACAAUGGGCGAAAGCCUGACGCAGCGACGCCGCGUGCGGGAUGAAGGCCUUCGGGUUGUAAACCGCUUUCAGGAGGGACGAAAAUGACGGUACCUCCAGAAGAAGGCCCGGCCAACUACGUGCCAGCAGCCGCGGUAACACGUAGGGGCCAAACGUUGUCCGGAUUUAUUGGGCGUAAAGGGCUCGUAGGCGGUUUGACAAGUCGGUCGUGAAAGCCCGGGGCUCAACCCCGGGACGCCGGUCGAAACUGUCAUGACUAGGGUCCGGUAGAGGUGAGUGGAAUUCUCAGUGUAGCGGUGAAAUGCGCAGAUAUUGAGAGGAACACCAGUAGCGAAGGCGGCUCACUGGGCCGGUACCGACGCUGAUGAGCGAAAGCGUGGGGAGCAAACAGGAUUAGAUACCCUGGUAGUCCACGCCGUAAACGUUGAACACUAGGUGUAGCGGACUUAUCCACGUCUGCUGUGCCGCAGCUAACGCAUUAAGUGUUCCGCCUGGGGAGUACGGCCGCAAGGCUAAAACUCAAAGGAAUGACGGAAUCGUCGACUGCAGCGGCGUUC